UACGAAGGGGGCUAGCGUUGUUCGGAUUUACUGGGCGUAAAGCGCACGUAGGCGGCUUCUUAAGUCGGUGGUGAAAUCCUGGAGCUCAACUCCAGAACUGCCUUCGAUACUGGGAGCUCGGAGUCCGGGAGAGGUGAGUGGAACUGCGAGUGUAGAGGUGAAAUUCGUAGAUAUUCGCAAGAACACCAGUGGCGAAGGCGGCUCACUGGCCCGGUACUGACGCUGAGGUGCGAAAGCG
rnacentral:rRNA from 1 species